rnacentral:piRNA from 1 species
UAAGAAAUUUGGAGAGGUCUCCUAGCUGC